AUGCCCAAGAGAAAGGGUGAAGGGGAUGCUAAAGGAGAUAAAUCCAAAGUUAAGGACGAACCACAGAGAAAAUCCACGAAGUUGUCUGCUAAACCUGCUCCUCCAAAGCCAGAGCCCAAGCUUAAAAAGGCCCCUGCAAAGAAGGGAGAGAAGGUACCCAAAGGAUAAAGGGAAAAGCUGAUGCUGGCAAGGAGGGGAAUAACCCUGCAGAAAAUGGAGAUGCCAAAUCAGACCAGGCACAGAAAACUGAAGGUGCUAGAGACGCCAAG
rnacentral:lncRNA from 1 species